rnacentral:rRNA from 1 species
UGGGGAAUUUUGGACAAUGGGCGAAAGCCUGAUCCAGCAAUGCCGCGUGCAGGACGAAGGCCUUCGGGUUGUAAACCGCUUUUGUCAGGGAAGAAACGCUCUGGGCUAAUACCCUGGGGUAAUGACGGUACCUGAAGAAUAAGCACCGGCUAACUACGUGCCAGCAGCCACGGUAAUACGUAGGGUGCAAGCGUUAAUCGGAAUUACUGGGCGUAAAGCGUGCGCAGGCGGUUAUGCAAGACAGAUGUGAAAUCCCCGGGCUCAACCUGGGAACUGCAUUUGUGACUGUAUAGCUAGAGUACGGUAGAGGGGGAUGGAAUUCCGCGUGUAGCAGUGAAAUGCGUAGAUAUGCGGAGGAACACCGAUGGCGAAGGCAAUCCCCUGGACCUGUACUGACGCUCAUGCACGAAAGCGUGGGGAGCAAACAGGAUUAGAUACCCAUGUAGUCCCUGAGCGGGCUGGCAAGGCGCAU